rnacentral:rRNA from 1 species
GUGAGGAAUAUUGGUCAAUGGGCGGAAGCCUGAACCAGCCAAGUAGCGUGCAGGAUGACGGCCCUAUGGGUUGUAAACUGCUUUUAUACGGGGAUAAAGUCAGCCACGUGUGGUUGAUUGCAGGUACCGUAUGAAUAAGGACCGGCUAAUUCCGUGCCAGCAGCCGCGGUAAUACGGAAGGUCCGGGCGUUAUCCGGAUUUAUUGGGUUUAAAGGGAGCGUAGGCCGUCAGGCAAGCGUGUUGUGAAAUGUCGUGGCUCAACCAUGGACUUGCAGCGCGAACUGCCCGACUUGAGUGCGCAGAAAGCAGGCGGAAUUUGUGGUGUAGCGGUGAAAUGCUUAGAUAUCACGAAGAACCCCGAUUGCGAAGGCAGCCUGCUGUAGCGCCACUGACGCUGAAGCUCGAAAGUGCGGGUAUCGAACAGGAUUAGAAACCCUGGUAGUCC